GGAGGGUCAUUAUCUCUAAAAUACGAAGGCCGUUCGCUGCCGGACUAUUUAUUACCCUUGUCUUUUGCGCACUUGUUGUUUCCUGGGCGGCCUCGCUCGCCACCAGGACCACAAUAUAAACCUUUUUUAUGCAGUUGCAAUCAGCGUCAGUAUAACAAAUGUAAAGCAUUUACAACUUUCAACAACGGAUCUCUUGGUUCUGGCAUCGAUGAAGAACGCAGCGAAAUGCGAUACGUAGUGUGAAUUGCAGAAUUCAGUGAAUCAUCGAAUCUUUGAACGCACAUUGCGCCCUUUGGUAUUCCAAAGGGCAUGCCUGUUCGAGCGUCAUUUGUACCCUCAAGCUUUGCUUGGUGUUGGGCGUUUUUGUCUUUGGCCCGCCAAAGACUCGCCUUAAAAUGAUUGGCAGCCGGCCUACUGGUUUCGCAGCGCAACACAUUUUUGCGCUUGCAAUCAGCAAAAGAGGACGGCAAUCCAUCAAGACUCCUUCUCACGUUUGACCUCGGAUCAGGUAGGGAUACCCGCUGAACUUAAGCAUAUCAUAAAGCG
rnacentral:rRNA from 1 species